GCCGGCGUGUCGGAACAGGCAGACGAUCUGGACUCAAAAUCCAGUGCCCGUAAGGGCGUAGGGGUUCGACUCCCCUCGCCGGCACCA
rnacentral:tRNA from 1 species